rnacentral:rRNA from 1 species
GAUGAACGCUGGCGGCGUGCCUAAUACAUGCAAGUCGAGCGAACAGACGAGGAGCUUGCUCCUCUGACGUUAGCGGCGGACGGGUGAGUAACACGUGGAUAACCUACCUAUAAGACUGGGAUAACUUCGGGAAACCGGAGCUAAUACCGGAUAAUAUAUUGAACCGCAUGGUUCAAUAGUGAAAGACGGUUUUGCUGUCACUUAUAGAUGGAUCCGCGCCGCAUUAGCUAGUUGGUAAGGUAACGGCUUACCAAGGCGACGAUGCGUAGCCGACCUAAGAGGGUGAUCGGCCACACUGGAACUGAGACACGGUCCAGACUCCUACGGGAGGCAGCAGUAGGGAAUCUUCCGCAAUGGGCGAAAGCCUGACGGAGCAACGCCGCGUGAGUGAUGAAGGUCUUCGGAUCGUAAAACUCUGUUAUUAGGGAAGAACAAAUGUGUAAGUAACUAUGCACGUCUUGACGGUACCUAAUCAGAAAGCCACUGCUAACUACGUG